rnacentral:lncRNA from 9 species
UGAUCCCUGGCCUUGUCCAGUGGGUUAGGGAUCCAAUGUUGCCAGUGAGCUGUGGUAUAGGUCCCAGACUCGGCUCAGAUCCCAUGUUGCUGUGGCUGUGGCUGUGGCGUAGGCCGGCAGCUCCAGCUCCAGCUGGAUCCCUAGCCUAGGAACUUCCAUAUGCUGUGGGUGCAGCCCUAAAAAGACAAAAAGACAAAAAAAAAAAAUUAUUGGGCACCUACUUUGUGCCAGGUCAUGCCAGUCACGGACAAUUCAGUGAUGAAUAAAACACGGCCCCUUGUUCUGAAGAAGCCAACUGGCAGGAGGAGGCAAAAGGGACAUCAGAACUUGGAAUCUGGUGCCAUUGCUACUUCACAGAGGCAUGAACAGAGAGCCCUGUGGAAUCAAGAAAAAGGAUGCAAAUCACUCGGUGGGUUGGGACUUGACAGAGGCCCAUGUGACACAACUUGUACAGAGUCUACUAUCACAUGGAGAGACAAGCAUAAGUUAAUAUUUAUAAAAGGAGGGGAAGGGAACUUUAGAGAGAUGGAACUCCAUACAUGAUGGAACAGAUGCAUGAAAAAGCACAGUUGGAAAAGAAGAGAAAAAACAGGUCCGCUCUGCAGUAUUCUCCAGAACCUUGUGAACAACUACGUGUAGAUUUUGAGAAAUCUCUCUUACUAAAGUUUAUUUGGGGGGGGGGUGCGGCACCUGGAUUCAGUCAUUUUGUUUUGAGAGAUCACCAAACAAGGAUCCAAGCUAUGAAAUUUUGCAGCAGAGGUCAUUUUUUCCCCCAAAAAUAUAGCCUGGAUUUCAUUCCUCAAUGUUCCUGGUGGCAAACUUGGUAGCAUUUGGGAAACACGCUCUGGCAUGUGGUACCUAUUACCCACUAGUCUUGCGAUCCUAGUUUAACAAAGUCUCCCUUCCUCAGUUGCCUCAUUCUCACAAAGUUGUUUGGAUUAAAUAAAAAUAACAAUAUGAAGUCCCUUGGCACAGAGUGAGUGCUCACUAAGUGGUAGUCAUUUAAUUAUUGUCAUUAUCAUGAUCACUAAAUUCCUUUCUGGACUCUGCUUUUGAUGUGUAAUUAUAUAAUCAGUGGAGAACAGUAGUAUAUUUCAUUUAAAUACUUAUGUGUAGAGUUCCCCUUAUGGCUCAGCAGGUUAGGGAUGCCAUGUUGUCUCUAUGAGGAUGCAGGUUCAAUCCCUGGCCUCUGUAGGUUAAGGAUCUGGCAUUGUUGCAAACUUUGGUGUAGGUCACAGAUGUGGCUCAGAUCUGGUGUUGCUGUGGCUGUGGUGUAGGCCUGCAGCCACAGCUCCGAUUUGAUCCCUAGCCCAGGUGUGGUUGUAAAAAGAAAAAAAAAAAAAAGCAACCUUAAAUGCUGGAAUUUCUUACCUUCUUUUGCAGUCUUAUUUUUUCCUAGCUUUAUUGAUGUGCCAUUUAUGUAUAAUAAAAAUGUAUGCUUUUCUAAGGUACAAUUUAAUAGGUUUAGAAAUUGUAUACAGUCAUGUAACCACAUC